rnacentral:rRNA from 1 species
AUUGAACGCUGGCGGCAGGCCUAACACAUGCAAGUCGAACGAGUGGCGGACGGGUGAGUAAUGUCUGGGAAACUGCCCGAUGGAGGGGGAUAACUACUGGAAACGGUAGCUAAUACCGCAUACCAUCGGAUGUGCCCAGAUGGGAUUAGCUAGUAGGUGGGGUAAAGGCUCACCUAGGCGACGAUCCCUAGCUGGUCUGAGAGGAUGACCAGCCACGUGGGUACUUAGAAACGGUCCAGACUCCGACGGGAGGCAGCAGUGGGGAAUAUUGAACAAUGGGCGCAAGCCUGAUACAGCCAGGCGGCGUGUAUGAAGAAGGCCUUCUGGUUGUAAAGUACUUUCAGCGGGGAGGCGUUACCCGCAGAAGAAGCACCGGCUAACUCCUUGCCAGCAGCCGCGGUAAUAC